rnacentral:tRNA from 1 species
AGGGGUAUAGUUUAAUGGUAAAACAACGGUCUCCAAAACCGUUGAUGUGGGUUCGAUCCCUGCUACCCCUG